UACGGGGGGGGCAAGCGUUGUUCGAAAUUACUGGGCGUAAAGGGCUCGUAGGCGGCCAACUAAGUCGGAUGUGAAAUCCCCAGGCUCAACCUGGGAACUGCAUCCGAUACUGGAUGGCUUGAAUUCGGGAGAGGGAUGCAGAAUUCCAGGUGUAGCGGUGAAAUGCGUAGAUAUCAGGAGGAACACCGGUGGCGAAGGCGGGUCUCUGGGCUGACACUGACGCUCAUGCACGAAAGCGUGGGGAGCAAACAGG
rnacentral:rRNA from 1 species